CUACCCACCUGGAAAGGGAAAUAUCAAGAUCACAAAGGUGAUUUUCCCAGAUAGAGUCUCAUUCAAGUCUGCUGACCUCUUCUAUUUCCCCAAAUAUGCGAAACUUGGUUGCAUAAUUUGUGGUAUGUGGUAUUUUAUCCAUC
ensembl:snRNA U1 U1 spliceosomal RNA